rnacentral:rRNA from 1 species
CUACGGGAUGCGCCAGUGGGGAAUAUUGCACAAUGGGCGCAAGCCUGAUGCAGCCAUGCCGCGUGUAUGAAGAAGGCCUUCGGGUUGUAAAGUACUUUCAGCGGGGAGGAAGGGAGUAAAGUUAAUACCUUUGCUCAUUGACGUUACCCGCAGAAGAAGCACCGGCUAACUCCGUGCCAGCAGCCGCGGUAAUACGGAGGGUGCAAGCGUUGAUCGGAAUUACUGGGCGUAAAGCGCACGCAGGCGGUUUGUUAAGUCAGAUGUGAAAUCCCCGGGCUCAACCUGGGAACUGCAUCUGAUACUGGCAAGCUUGAGGCUCGUAGAGGGGGGUAGAAUUCCAGGUGUAGCGGUGAAAUGCGUAGAGAUCUGGAGGAAUACCGGUGGCGAAGGCGGCCCCCUGGACGAAGACUGACGCUCAGGUGCGAAAGCGUGGGGAGCAAACAGGAUUAGAUACCCUAGUAGUC